CCUACGGGCGGCAGCAGUAGGGAAUUUUCGUCAAUGGGCGCAAGCCUGAACGAGCAAUGCCGCGUGAACGAGGAAGGUCUUCGGAUCGUAAAGUUCUGUUGAAGGGGAAAAAGAGCGGAGAGAGGAAAUGGUCUCCGAUUGAUAUUACCCUUCGAGGAAGUCACGGCUAACUACGUGCCAGCAGCCGCGGUAAUACGUAGGUGGCGAGCGUUAUCCGGAAUGAUUGGGCGAAAAGGGUGCGUAGGCGGCCUGCAAAGUCUGGGGUGAAAGGUACCGGCUCAACCGGUACAGGCUCUGGAAACUGGCGGGCUAGAGAGCAGGAGAGGGCGGUGGAACUCCAUGUGUAGCGGUAAAAUGCGUAGAUAUAUGGAAGAACACCAGUGGCGAAGGCGGCCGCCUGGCCUGUUACUGACGCUGAGGCACGAAAGCGUGGGGAGCAAAUAGGAUUAGAUACCCUAGUAGUC
rnacentral:rRNA from 1 species